rnacentral:rRNA from 1 species
UACGGGGGGGGCAAGCGUUGUUCGGAAUUACUGGGCGUAAAGGGCGCGUAGGCGGCCUGCUAAGUCGGACGUGAAAUCCCUCGGCUCAACCGAGGAACUGCGUCCGAUACUGGUGGGCUUGAAUCCGGGAGAGGGAUGUGGAAUUCCAGGUGUAGCGGUGAAAUGCGUAGAUAUCUGGAGGAACACCGGUGGCGAAGGCGGCAUCCUGGACCGGUAUUGACGCUGAGGCGGCGAAAAGC